GGGCCUGUAGGCAAAUGGUAUACCGGUACAUUCGCAUUGUACAGUUCCGAGUUCGAUUCUCGGCAGGUCCA
rnacentral:tRNA from 1 species